AGGUCAGUGUCACGGAGGCACCCUACAGGUGCACAGAGAACCCGGCCAACUGCUGGUGCCCUGUCCACCGUGCCUGUCCACGACCUGGGGACAACUGUCAUCAAAGAAGUCCUGGCUGACAAUGGUCCUGAUGAGGAAACACUGCAGGCUGCCUUAGAGCCACAGGCCACCAUGGAACACCCAGCCUCAUACUUGGCAGUUUCCUACAGGAGGUG
rnacentral:lncRNA from 1 species